GUUGACCUCGGAUCAGGUAGGGAUACCCGCUGAACUUAAGCAUAUCAAUAAGCGGAGGAAAAGAAACCAACAGGGAUUGCCUCAGUAACGGCGAGUGAAGCGGCAAGAGCUCAAAUUUGAAAUCUGGCUCCUUUGGGGCCCGAGUUGUAAUUUGUAGAGGAUGCUUCGGGCGUGGCCGCGGUCUAAGUCCCCUGGAACGGGGCGUCGCAGAGGGUGAGAAUCCCGUCUUCGGCCGGCCGGCCCCGCCCGUGUGAAGCUCCUUCGACGAGUCGAGUUGUUUGGGAAUGCAGCUCUAAAUGGGUGGUAAAUUUCAUCUAAAGCUAAAUACUGGUCGGAGACCGAUAGCGCACAAGUAGAGUGAUCGAAAGAUGAAAAGCACUUUGAAAAGAGAGUUAAACAGCAUGUGAAAUUGUUGAAAGGGAAGCGCUUGCGACCAGAGUCGGCCGCGGGGGCUCAGCGGGCACUCGUUGCCCGUGCACUCCCCCGUGGUCGGGCCAGCGUCGGUUUCGACGGCCGGUCAAAGGCCCCCGGAAUGUGUCGCCUCUCGGGGCGUCUUAUAGCCGGGGGUGCAAUGCGGCCAGUCGGGACCGAGGAACGCGCUCCGGCACGGACGCUGGCUUAAUGGUUGUAAGCGACCCGUCUUGAAACACGGACC
rnacentral:rRNA from 1 species